UACGGAGGAUGCAAGCGUUAUCCGGAAUUAUUGGGCGUAAAGCGUCCGCAGGUGGCACUUCAAGUCUGUCGUCAAAGACCGGGGCUUAACCCUGGAAAGGCGAUGGAAACUGAAAGGCUAGAGAGAGGUAGGGGUAGAGGGAAUUCCCAGUGUAGCGGUGAAAUGCGUAGAGCUCGGGAAGAACAUCGGUGGCGAAAGCGCUCUGCUGGACUGCAACUGACACUCAGGGACGAAAGCUAGGGGAGCGAAUGGG
rnacentral:rRNA from 1 species